UACGUAGGGUGCGAGCGUUGUCCGGAAUUACUGGGCGUAAAGAGCUCGUAGGUGGUUUGUCGCGUUGUCCGUGAAAACUCACAGCUCAACUGUGGGCGUGCGGGCGAUACGGGCAGACUGGAGUACUGCAGGGGAGACUGGAAUUCCUGGUGUAGCGGUGGAAUGCGCAGAUAUCAGGAGGAACACCGGUGGCGAAGGCGGUCUCUGGCAGUGAACUGACGCUGAGGAGCGAAAGCGUGGGAGCGAACAGG
rnacentral:rRNA from 1 species